CUCCAAGGUGCUGAGUUCAGUUCAGGAGAGCUUCCCGUUCUGUUAAUUAAACUUUGGGACGUUGAAAGUACCUAAGGGAAAUAACUGAAUAGAGUAUAAUACACUAUUCAUAUACUUCCAAGUCCACACCA
rnacentral:snoRNA from 1 species